rnacentral:rRNA from 1 species
CAGUCGCCGCGGUAAUACGAAGGGGGCUAGCGUUGCUCGGAAUGACUGGGCGUAAAGGGCGCGUAGGCGGCGAUCAAAGUCAGGCGUGAAAUUCCUGGGCUCAACCUGGGGGCUGCGCUUGAUACUUGGUUGCUUGAGUGGGGAAGAGGGUCGUGGAAUUCCCAGUGUAGAGGUGAGAUUCGUAGAUAUUGGGAAGAACACCGGUGGCGAAGGCGGCGACCUGGUCCUUGACUGACGCUGAGGCGCGAAAGCGUGGGGAGCAAACAGGAUUAGAUACCCCAGUAGUCCCUGUAUCUUAUAC